AUGGCCCUUACGCUCGGCGCGGCUGUCUUCCUCGCCUUCGCCGCGGCGACCGCGCAGGCCCAGAGGUGCGGCGAGCAGGGCAGCAACAUGGAGUGCCCCAACAACCUCUGCUGCAGCCAGUACGGGUACUGCGGCAUGGGCGGCGACUACUGCGGCAAGGGCUGCCAGAACGGCGCCUGCUGGACCAGCAAGCGCUGCGGCAGCCAGGCCGGCGGGGCGACGUGUCCCAACAACCACUGCUGCAGCCAGUACGGGCACUGCGGCUUCGGAGCCGAGUACUGCGGCGCCGGCUGCCAGGGCGGCCCCUGCCGCGCCGACAUCAAGUGCGGCAGCCAGUCCGGCGGCAAGCUAUGCCCGAACAACCUCUGCUGCAGCCAGUGGGGAUUCUGCGGCCUAGGUUCCGAGUUCUGCGGCGGUGGCUGCCAGAGCGGUGCUUGCAGCACCGACAAGCCGUGCGGCAAGGACGCCGGCGGCAGGGUUUGCACUAACAACUACUGUUGUAGCAAGUGGGGAUCCUGUGGCAUCGGCCCGGGCUAUUGCGGUGCAGGCUGCCAGAGCGGCGGCUGUGACGCUGUCUUUGCCGGCGCCAUCACCGCCAACUCCACUCUUCUCGCAGAAUGA
rnacentral:rRNA from 1 species